rnacentral:Y_RNA from 1 species
GGCUGGUCUGAAGGUAGUGAGUUAUCUCACGUGAUUGUCAUAGUCAGUUACAGAUUGAACUCCUUGUUCUACAACUUUCCCCUGUCCUCACUACUGCACUUGACUAGUCUAAA